ACAAACGCUGGCGGCGUGCCUAUACAUGCAAGUCGAACGAGGAAAGUAGCAAUACGAGUACUAGUGGCGCACGGGUGAGUAACACGUGGGUAAUCUGCCUUAGAGUGGGGGAUAACCAGUCGAAAGACUGGCUAAUACCGCAUAAGACCACAAGAUCUGCGGAUCUAGGGGUCAAAGGUUUUUCGCUCUAAGAUGAGCCCGCGCAGGAUUAGCUAGUUGGUAGGGUAAUGGCCUACCAAGGCAACGAUCCUUAGCUGGUCUGAGAGGAUGAUCAGCCACACUGGAACUGAGACACGGUCCAGACUCCUACGGGAGGCAGCAGUAGGGAAUUUUGCGCAAUGGAGGAAACUCUGACGCAGCGACGCCGCGUGAGUGACGAAGGACUUCGGUUCGUAAAGCUCUGUUGCAAGGGAAAAAGAAAGUGAUUGUACCUUGUGAGGAAGGGUCAGCUAACUUCGUGCCAGCAGCCGCGGUAAGACGAGGGACCCUAGCGUUGUUCGGAAUCAUUGGGCGUAAAGCGGAUGUAGGUGGCUUUGUAAGUCAGGUGUGAAAGCCCAGGGCUCAACCCUGGAAGUGCAUUUGAUACUGCGAAGCUUGAGUGGUGGAUAGGUAAACAGAAUUCCUGGUGUAGUGGUGAAAUACGUAGAUAUCAGGAGGAAUACCGGAGGCGAAGGCGGUUUACUGGCCACACACUGACACUCAGAUCCGAAAGCAUGGGGAUCAAACAGGAUUAGAUACCCUGGUAGUCCAUGCCAUAAACGAUGGAUACUUGUUGUUGGAGGUAUUGACC
rnacentral:rRNA from 1 species